rnacentral:lncRNA from 1 species
GCUAGGCCUCGUCAACGGGCCGGGCCGAGCCCGGCCCGGCCCAUUCAUAGCGGGCCCGGGCCGGGCCGGCCCGGGCCUAAUGAGAUUUUUAAAUAGUGACGGGCCGGGCCUCAUUGUAAAUCAACGGAUCCAAGCCCGUCCAUAUAAGGCGGGCCUUGCGGGCUUUUACGGGCCGGGCCGGGUAGCCCACCAUUUUUCGGGCCGGGCCGGGCUUUUGUAUUAUGCGAGUUUCAGAAACCAUUUUAUUAUGCAAUAUUUAGCUUCAUCCACAACAACUAAUUUUACACAACCUCAUUCAACUAAUAACUAAUUGAUAAGGUCUUGUCUAAAAUGGAUAUAAGAUAUCCUGCUUCUAGAAUCUAGAUCAUCACCGGUCAUAUUAAGGAUGCUAUUUAUUUCCUUCUAAAGUUUUAAGGGGUUUGGAACCUAGCCGAACUAGGAGGCUCAUCCCCACGUCCG